CAGUGGAGUAUUGUUGUAAAUAUAUCUGAAUGAUUCUGGCCAAUUUAAGAUUUCCUGUCUUAGUUUUGAACUACUGGACAACGUAAGCAUUAAUACUGAAUUAUUAAGUUUCUAAGAAAAUAAAAGAAAAUAAAAGAACAACAGAAAGCUAGAAUUUCUUCAAUCUGUCGCUUUGUGCAUAAAAGGUUCUCCUUGCUUAUGUGUCCACUAAAAUUGUUGCAUUAGGUAAGCAGUGUUACCUCAUAAAAGAAGUGCCAUCAAGACUACUAUUGUUCUUCCAUCAGCACUGAGAUUUUUGCAUAUCUAUUCCUGUCUCAUUUACGUAGACAGAAAACAAAACAUGCAAAUCAGCGCUGGCACCUCAAUAAAGCGAUCUAUUGACAAACUGCUUUUUUACCUUGUCACUCCUAUAAACACACACACGCACACACACACGCAUGCACGCACGCACACACACACACACACACACACACACACACACACACACACACACACACACACACAUCCAACAAAACAACACCCUUCUUUACCACAGUCAUCCUCUCAUGUCCCUGCUCUCCACCUCAGGACAAGGAGACAGUGUAAGGCAGUCAGAGGCUGAUGGAUGAAGAAUAACAGUCGAUCAGUGCAGCUGAGCUCAGCAAAGUCCAGUCUUUCAGGUCAGAGGUUACUUGCAGCAUCACCUUGAAAAGUGUCAGACUGUAUUCUGAACUGAUCUCCCUUUGUUUCUUUCUCACCUCAAUUAAAAUAACAAGAGUUCCCAUCUCUUACAGUGUGGUUGAGGUAAAGUUGACAGAAAAACAUCAACUCUAAGGUGGGAUGAGCGGGCCAAGCCCAUAACACACAACACACAGUUAACCUCUAUUGUUAGGAUAUUUUGUCUAAUAAAUUACGCUUUAACUGUAAUUACUGAGAUAAUCAUGUAUUGCUAGCGCACCCCAACAGCCCCUGGAAAUAUCCUGAGAUGUUUCAUGUCAGUCCUUUAGUAAACUGUCAGCAUGAAGUCAGGCUGAGGUGAAGACCCAGCAGGAAACGUUCAGAAGAAGUCACCACAGGCAAGUUUCUGUGAGUUGUGAGUUUCUGAGUUACUUUCAAGAUGAAAAAUGUGAAGAUGUCUGCUUAUCCAUCCUUUCACGUGUAACAUUGAUAUGAAUCCAAAACUGUCAUAUAAGGGUCGCUCUUGGUGGCUUUUUCCACCAUCAUGUUAUAAACAUUACAACAUGACUUUUGCAGAAUUUUUUGACAUCAUGUCUUUUCUUCUGAGACUAGAGAGCAUGAACAGGCAACUUUGUAAGAUAUCAGAGGCUGAGCUCCUGACUGUUUCCAGAAAAGUUCAGGGGUGUAGGUGUGAAAGAAACAAUCAUGGAACUAGGGCUGGGCGAUAUGGGAAAAAGUUCAUCACAAUUUUUUUUCUUUAUAUCAGUUGAUAUCAAUAUAUGUCACAAUAUUAAAAAAAUCAGUUGUCAAUUUUAAAUGUUCCCUGUUACUCUUAAAUAAAAUAUAACAGUGCUUAUUGGUAGCAUGUCUUUUGCAAUACAAUAAGCUACUGCAUCUGUGAGGUCUUUGUGUCUCUUCCACGUUUUGCUGUAAGGCGUUGUGCUACAGAAAGCGGAUGGUCGGCUGUUUCGGCUGCACAGAUGCCAGGGGCUCCUUGCUCCUGUGAGAACAUGUACUCGACAUAAUUUGCAGUGCACAUUACUCUGCUUCAUGUCCGACCUCAAAAAACCAAACUACCUCCACACCACCGACGUUUUCGUGCCAGUGUUGUUGACAAUGUCGCCAUUUGUUCAGCCUUCACCUACAUUUCUGCCGGGGGUAGCACUAAUUUUCUUUUUUUCUCACCAACAGAUAGGGACAACAGACAAUUGAAUUUCACUUCGGGCAAUAAUAAAGUUACUCUUACUCUUAUUCUUAACAGUGCUGUUGGCUUCGCCUGUUAAAAUGCUAUGGUUGCAUGUAGCUGCAGCCUGCUACUACACAGUUGUUUACUACUCUGUUCUAAUUCAGCACAUGAUUGGUUCAGCAUGAAGCGGACCCAGAGCAACUUCCUUUUUCAUUGGCUAUUUAUAUAGUCUACCAAAACAUGGCAGAAUGCAGACUAUCAAAAAGCAUAUUGACCAUGUUUUAUAUUGAUAUUGAGGGAAAUUAAUUUUUGAUACAUAUCAUUAUCUUUAUAUCGCCCAGCCCUACAUGGACCUUGUUUGUCAUUGUCUGCCCUUCGUAUCCUAUGAGACAGAUAAUAGACUUUUACAGCUUCCAGUGCAGCCAGUUAAGACUUUCUCUAUGGUGUGUUGCCUUGGUUUACAAAUUAUCUUGAGCAGUAAUGGUAAGGUUGGUGUUGAGUUUAUUUUAAAAGGGAUUUUCGGCUGCAAUUGUGUGCAGAAAGCUGUUCAAAAGCAUAACUUAAAGCUUUAUUUUCUUUAGAUAACUGCAGACUGUGAUGAUUCACUUGCGCGCAACUAAGUUUCACUGAAUUACUAGUAAAUCUGCAGAAAUCAGAAAAACUCUGGAGCCAAAAUACAUUCCUGUGCCUAAAGUCUGCAAUUCAAAAUCAAAUUUAGCUUUAGGCACCAAAUUAUUAAUCACCUGUUCCAGAGACAAAUUGUGUCCUUACGUUUUCCUCUUUGUUUUAGUUUCUGUCAUGCUAGCCUUCAAGCUUGGGGUAGAGUCUUAAUACAUUAAACUGCAGGGAUUUGGUUCCAGUUUCUGUGCAGUCACAAAAAUGUUCCCACUAAUUAUGUUAAACCGACAUCAUAAUGAAUUUGAAGGGAAGGCCUGAAGCUGUUCCCUUUUCAGCAUUGUGUUACUGCUGAGGGACUGAAGGGCUGCAGGGAGGAAAGUCUAAAACUGGGGGUUUGCUCCAACUAAAAUCGCUGCUGGUGGGGUCAUGUGAUGUGUAGGGUCAUGUGAAAAGUCACUUCCACUCAGGAUAACCUUGUAAAAGAUGUCAAAGAGAUGUCAACUAUUCUUGGAUUUUCAUGCUUGUUAUACAAUUUAAUCAAAAGUCUUGAGUAAGCCUUGGGGGGGAUUCAUUUGGCUCACUAAAACCCAGAGGUAGAUGUUAUGUUUAGAUUAUUCCCCAAACAUGACGGUUAUAAACAUAGAAACUCCUCUUUCCUCGUGAGUUUGUGGUCAGGCAGCUGACUCCACUGAGCCAAAGAUAAGUUGAACAUAUUAUUUCUUUUAAAGCUGCAUACAGAAUCACGCGCACAUUAAAAAGAAUCUGUAAAUUUCUUUUAAAAAAAAGGAUCAGCAACAGCAUUGUGGUGUAGGAUUUUAUGGUUUCCGUGAAACAUCCAAGAUUAGAAUGCCUCGGGUUUCCAAUUUAGUCAAGAAUAUAAAUCAAAUAUACUCCAUUAUUUGUUUCUAAAGAAGUUGAAUCAGCAACUUUAAAGACUUGAAAUCUGAUUUAAGAUCAACUUAUUGCUCUGUCAUGGUUCCACCACGUUUAUUAACUGGUCUCUCAACAAAUGAAGAGCGUUUUUGUCAAAAAAUGAUUCUAAAUAAGUGAUGGGAACAAACAGAAACACUAAAGUUGGAAGUCAGAAAACAAAAAUAGAAAGGUACAAAAAGGCUUUGGGGUUUUUAAUAAGUGUAGAAAUGAGCGGUAAUGAGUUUAGGCUUAUUAUUUCAAUCUCCAAACUCCGAAAGCAA
rnacentral:lncRNA from 1 species